GCAACGAGCGCAACCCUUAUCUUUAAUUGCCAUCAUUCAGUUGGGCACUUUAAAGAGACUGCCGGUGUUAAACCGGAGGAAGGUGGGGAUGACGUCAAGUCCUCAUGGCCUUAUGCUUAGGGCUACACACGUGCUACAAUGGGUGGUACAAAGAGAAGCCAACUCGCGAGAGUGCGCAAAUCUCAAAAAGCCAUCCUAAGUUCGGAUUGAAGUCUGCAACUCGACUUCAUGAAGCUGGAAUCGCUAGUAAUCGCGGAUCAGCAUGCCGCGGUGAAUACGUUCCCGGGCCUU
rnacentral:rRNA from 1 species